GACGAACGCUGGCGGCGUGCUUAACACAUGCAAGUCGAGCGGUAAGGCCCUUUCGGGGGUACGACGAGCGGCGAACGGGUGAGUAACACGUGGGUGACCUGCCUUCAGCUCUGGGAUAAGCCUGGGAAACUGGGUCUAAUACUGGAUAUUACUCUGCGGUGCAUGCCGUGGGGUGGAAAGCCUUGUGCGGCUGGGGAGUGGGCCCGCGGCCUAUCAGCUUGUUGGUGGGGUGAUGGCCUACCAAGGCGACGACGGGUAGCCGGCCUGAGAGGGCGACCGGCCACACUGGGACUGAGACACGGCCCAGACUCCUACGGGAGGCAGCAGUGGGGAAUCUUGCGCAAUGGGCGAAA
rnacentral:rRNA from 1 species